rnacentral:rRNA from 1 species
GAUGAACGCUGGCGGCGUGCUUAACACAUGCAAGUCGAACGAUGAUCCGGUGCUUGCACCGGGGAUUAGUGGCGAACGGGUGAGUAACACGUGAGUAACCUGCCCUUAACUCUGGGAUAAGCCUGGGAAACUGGGUCUAAUACCGGAUAUGACUCCUCAUCGCAUGGUGGGGGGUGGAAAGCUUUAUUGUGGUUUUGGAUGGACUCGCGGCCUAUCAGCUUGUUGGUGAGGUAAUGGCUC